rnacentral:rRNA from 1 species
AGGGCACCACCAGGAGUGGAGCCUGCGGCUUAAUUUGACUCAACACGGGAAAUCUCACCAGGCCCGGACACUGGAAGGAUUGACAGAUUGAGAGCUCUUUCUCGAUUCGGUGGGUGGUGGUGCAUGGCCGUUCUUAGUUGGUGGAGGAUUUGUCUGGUUAAUUCCGAUACGAACGGACUCUGUCUGCUAAAUAGUUCCAGCGUCCUUAGUGCGUGGAAAUUCUUCUUAAAAGGACUGGCGGCGUCUAGCCCCCCGAGAAUGGAACAAUAACAGGGUCUGUGAUGCCCUUAAAAGUUCUGGGCCGCACCCCCCGCCAACCUGGAAGGGAUCAGCCUGUGCUCCCCCCCUCGGAAGGGAACGGGUAACCCCCCUGAACCCCCCUUCUGGUAAGGGAAUGGGGGCUUGGAAUUUAUUUCCCCCAUGAACCAAGAAAAUUCCCAGUAAGCCCAAGUCAUAAGCUUGGCGUUUGAUUACGUUUCCUGGCCCUUUGGACACCACCGCCCGUCGCCUACCUACCCG